UCAACGCAGUGACUCGUCGACGGAGGU
rnacentral:sRNA from 1 species